UAAAGAAUUUCGGUCAUCGAUGGGGAUGCGUUCCAUUAGCUUGUUGGCGGGGUAACGGCCCACCAAGGCAUCGAUGGAUAGGGGUUCUGAGAGGAAGGUCCCCCACAUUGGAACUGAGACACGGUCCAAACUCCUACGGGAGGCAGCAGUGAGGAAUAUUGGUCAGUGGGCGCUAGCCUGAACCAGCCAAGUAGCGUGAAGGAUGACUGCCCUAUGGGUUGUAAACUUCUUUUAUAUGGGAAUAAAGUGCAGUAUGUAUACUGCUUUGCAUGUACCUUAUGAAUAAGGAUCGGCUAACUCCGUGCCAGCAGCCGCGGUAAUACGGAGGAUCCGAGCGUUAUCCGGAUUUAUUGGGUUUAAAGGGAGCGUAGGCGGGUUGUUAAGUCAGUUGUGAAAGUUUGCGGCUCAACCGUAAAAUUGCAGUUGAUACUGGCAUCCUUGAGUACAGUAGAGGUAGGCGGAAUUCGUGGUGUAGCGGUGAAAUGCUUAGAUAUCACGAAGAACUCCGAUUGCGAAGGCAGCCUGCUGGACUGUAACUGACGCUGAUGCUCGAAAGUGUGGGUAUCAAACAGGAUUAGAUACCCUGGUAGUCCACACAGUGAACGAUGAAUACUCGCUGUUUGCGAUAUACAGUAA
rnacentral:rRNA from 1 species